UCCGUACUUAUUGCUUAAUCAAGUAUAAGAAUAGUGUGAUAGUAAAAAGCGAGGAAGUAUCCACUUUGUAUCUUGGAACCGAAGGCUGGUGUGGGGGGACUUGGGCCCGCACGUGUUUGCAUUCGAUUGUACGGAAUAAAUUGUGUGUAGUAUGAAAAAAAAAACAAAACAUAUUUCUUCCCCCCUCCCACACACACAUACACACACAUUAACUUGAAAAUACAAUAACUGUGAGUAUAUUUUAUUCGGUAAUUUAAUCUCGAAACGUGUAUAGAUAAUUAGACUUCGAUUAUAUUCUAUAUAACUUCGACAAAAUUACACGAGGCGAAAAGCUCACGUUCUCGAUAAAAUAUUGACUUUUUCGGAUCCGGU